rnacentral:tRNA from 1 species
GGGCCGGUAGUCUAGCCUGGUAAGCAAAAGAUCGCACAGAACGGACGUCGCCCUCACACGGCGAAGGUCGUGGGUUCGAAUCCCACCCGGCCCACCA